UACGAAGGGGGCUAGCGUUGCUCGGAAUCACUGGGCGUAAAGCGCACGUAGGCGGAUUGCUAAGUCAGGGGUGAAAUCCUGGAGCUCAACUCCAGAACUGCCUUUGAUACUGGCGACCUUGAGUCCGGGAGAGGUGAGUGGAACUGCGAGUGUAGAGGUGAAAUUCGUAGAUAUUCGCAAGAACACCAGUGGCGAAGGCGGCUCUCUGGACCAGCACUGACACUGAGGCACGAAAGCGUGGGGGAGCAAACAGG
rnacentral:rRNA from 1 species